UUAAUUGCGAUGAAGAGAAGAGUAGGAUUCACCAGACUCCACAGAGAGCUUCGGUAGCUGAAAAGAAGCAGCAGUGAUGAAUCAGAAGAUGGUCUCAGAGCGAUUGUCGAUUAGACACGGGUGUGCCCGAUACAGCAGUUCGUAGCAAUACGACAAAAGAUCAGUCUUGCAAGAGCCUGAUAAACCAAGGUGGUACCACGGCACUCCCGUCCUUUCA
rfam:Enterococcus devriesei strain DSM 22802 Scaffold5, whole genome shotgun sequence.